AGUGAACGCUGGCGGUAGGCCUAACACAUGCAAGUCGAACGGCAGCACAAUAAGAGCUUGCUCUUACGGGUGGCGAGUGGCGGACGGGUGAGGAAUACAUCGGAAUCUACUUUUUCGUGGGGGAUAACGUAGGGAAACUUACGCUAAUACCGCAUACGACCUACGGGUGAAAGCAGGGGAUCUUCGGACCUUGCGCGAUUGAAUGAGCCGAUGUCGGAUUAGCUAGUUGGCGGGGUAAAGGCCCACCAAGGCGACGAUCCGUAGCUGGUCUGAGAGGAUGAUCAGCCACUCUGGAACUGAGACACGGUCCAGACUCCUACGGGAGGCAGCAGUGGGGAAUAUUGGACAAUGGGCGCAAGCCUGAUCCAGCCAUACCGCGUGGGUGAAGAAGGCCUUCGGGUUGUAAAGCCCUUUUGUUGGGAAAGAAAAGCAGCAGGUUAAUACCCCGCUGUUCUGACGGUACCCAAAGAAUAAGCACCGGCUAACUUCGUG
rnacentral:rRNA from 1 species